UAAAAUUAUUUCACCGAUUUACCUAUAGUUUUAAAUUAAAUCUAUAAUUACCAACUUGAAUGUUACUUACACAACAGUUUUGGAGAUCACAAAUACGAUGCUAUGAAACUAUGGAGACAAAAGGAAUGUGUAAAAUUGUAUUAUUAGUAAUUCUUACUCACGCCGUGACAACCAAAGCAAAAGGAACGAACGAAGAACCAACCCCAGAUAGUGCGAAUGGAAACACUUCAGUAAACUCAUCUAGUCCAGCAAUGAAAAACACCACAUCGAAUGAAGAAAAUGAAGAAAACUGCAUUGAGUGUGCACCCUUCAUACCUAUACCCGUGUACCCAUUCUACCCUUUUUAUGGUUACUACACACUGUAUUACCCGUACUUAUUCGGGUAACCAAGACGAGAUUCGAUACUUCAACUGCAAUAUUUUUGUAUAAAUACAAUUUUUACUUACAAAUAUUUCAGGCAAAUUUACUCUUAGCUAUAGGUAACAAAAAUAACAUUUAAAGAUUCUUUAAGGACUAAAAUGAUUUCACUUUUAAAAUAUUUAUCACAUAAUUAAAUAUUAUAAAAGUGAAAUCAUUAUAUUAAUAUUUAUAAAGUGUUUUAGGAUUUUCUCCAUUUAACGAUUAAGUCCUAAAAGUAGUACCUAGGUAAUUGUAGACGAUUUAUAAAUGGAAAUCUUCCACUUUUUUAUGAAAUAGUUCAAACUUAGCACCGAUUAUUCGUUUCUCCAUCUUGAGUCUGAGACAUUUGACCUUUGUUUAAAUUAGAAAGAUAAUUUAUAUUCGGCGUACUAAAAUCUACGCAUGUGUAGUGUACAGUCACCAUCAGAUAUAUCGGAGCGGCCAAGGUGAUCACAAAUAUCUGAACACACACUCUAACGCCUUGACAAUAGAGGCGUGUUCAGAUAUUUGUACCAGUGUAGGUCAGGCCAAAAUAUCGGUGUAUUUAAACAUCCCAUUACAACACGUUUCCGUGGACAAAAAAGAAUAAACUAAAAACGGUUUAUUCCUGACCAUAUACCGUUGAGAGCAUUUCUCAUAUUAAUGAGUGUCGUUGGAAGCAUUUAAACAAACGGGCGUGCACCGGUGCCGCUGAAUCAAUGCUCAUUAAUAUAAUGGCUGUAGCUGCAAUAGUUGGCGUUGUUUUAUAAAAGGUGGGACGGACUAGAGAUCGUAGUAAUAAUUUAGCACGGGAUGGAGAAAGUAAAAUAUUUUUGAGGCAGGCGGUAUUCUCUAUAGGUGAUUAAUAGGUAUAAUAAUUAAUACAACUAAGUAGCUGAUUUAAUAAAGGAACUAUAAAGUCAAUGUGGCUAAUUCCGUCAUAGGGUCUAUUGAAUAGACUCUAUUCCGUCCACGAGCGUAUAUUUCAUUGAUUUAUAUACAAUCGUAGGAAAAAGAACCAUUUGCUUUUGAUUGCUGAAACUAAAAGCAAUCGCUGCUUUGUCGACAAAAUUAUCAAUUUUGUUUGUUGUUCGAUAAAAAUGCUAGUGGACGGAAUAGUCCCUAUGACGGAAUUAGCCACAUUGACCUAAGACCAUAAUGAUAAUGACUGCAAAAAGUGCAUGCUCUGAGGCAUGGCUUUC